rnacentral:rRNA from 1 species
UACGGAGGGUGCGAGCGUUGCUCGGAAUUAUUGGGCGUAAAGCGUACGCAGGCUGUUCGUUAAGUCGGGUGUGAAAUCCCAGGGCUCAACCCUGGACGUGCAUCCGAUACUGGCGAGCUUGAGUGCGGGAGAGGGAAGCGGAAUUCCUGGUGUAGAGGUGAAAUUCGUAGAUAUCAGGAGGAACACCGGUGGCGAAAGCGGCUUCCUGGCCCGACACUGACGCUCAUGUACGAAAGCGCGGGGAGCAAACAGG